rnacentral:lncRNA from 1 species
AAACUUAGUUGUUCAUAUGAGAAGUAUAAUAUCAAUGAGAAAUCAGAAAUAAUAUACUGCCAUGUUUUAUCUUUGAUGAUUGAAUAUUUAGCAAGCACUCCUUCUGUUUUUAAAAAAACUGGAAUAGUAUAGUAUAUCUCUGUAAAACUCUCCUAGUACUAAACCAACAUGCAACUUUUAUCCCAUUCUCAACUCUCCUGUUUUUCCUUCCACCAAGUUUUUGCUCUUCUCCCCUUCUCAGGGGAGAAGAAUUGCUAAUCCAGUUGGGUUUCAAGUUACUGAUUGGACCACAUUUCUUAGUGGGUGCUUCCUUCUUUUUUCAGUGCCAUGUAGAUACUCUCUCUUCCAUUUCCUUUUUCUUUACAGCUAAUGAACUGCCUCCUCACAGAUGACUAGCCAUCUUGUUCUCUCUCUGUUACUCCUUUUCACUUAAGUGGGUAAGCUGAUUUAGAACUUCCUGCUUCAGGACAGGCGCGGUGGCUCACGCCUGUAAUCCCAGUACUUUGGCAGGCCGAGGUAGGCGGAUCACGAGGUCAGGACUUUUUUUUUUUUUUUUUUUUGAGACGGAGUCUCGCUCUGCCCCCCCAGGCUGGAGUGCAGUGGCGUGAUCUCGGCUCACUGCAAGCUCCGCCUCCCAGGUUCACGCCAUUCUCCUGCCUCAGCCUCCCGAGUAGCUGGGACUACGGGCACCCACCACCAUGCCUGGCUAAUUUUUUUUUUUUUUUUUUUUUUUUUUUGUAUUUUUAGUAGAGACGGGGUUUCACUGUGUUAGCCAGGAUGGUCUCGAUCUCCGAGGUCAGGAAUUUGAGACCAGCCUGCCCAACAUGGCGAAACCCCGUCUCUACUAAAAAUACAAAAAAUUAGCCGGGCAUGGUGGCAGGCACCUGUAAUCCCAGCUACUUGGGAGGCUGAGGCAGGAGAAUUGCUUGAACCCAGGAGGCGGAGGUUGCAGUGAGCCACGCCACUGCACUCCAGCGUGGGUGACAAGAGCGAAACUCCGUUUCAAACAAACAAAAAAAAAGAACUUCCUGCUUCAAAACACUCCUUGCCAUCUUGUACUAUCUUCCUCAUUCAUACACAAAGUAAAAAUCCUUGGCUUGAUCUCCAACAUGCCACUGACUAGAAAGUGGAAAUCCCAAGAUCUGCAUGUUUAGGGAAAAACAGAGAGAUCUGACGUGACCUUUAGGUUAGGCUACAUGUCCCUACCUAGGUUUACUGGGGCACUAGACAUAUAUUUAGCUAGGACUCUCAGAUGCAAGUGAACAAAUCUAAUAGGAAGUACCUUAGGGGGUGGGGGAAAUUUUAUUGGCUCAUAUAAUCAAAUAAUGCAAAGGGCGGGAAUGUAGCUAUUCUUGGAGACUUACUAGAACUGAAUUAUUUACCAUUUGGACUUUAUAUCUUGCCUCUGCUUUCCUCAGCAAGACGGCCUCCUCUCAGACCAGCAUCCUCUAGAAGAUUGGAGUCAUGGGCACUGGCAUCUUUCCGCUUCAACUUCAGGUAAAAGAGUCUUUUUUCUUAAUUUCUAUUUGGAAAAUCUCAAAAGGAUCCUGAAUGACCACAGUUACAUAAUCUGCCCAUCCCUGGCAGAGCUGGGUAAAGAAAUAGUUCCCAAAAAGAAGUAGGGAAUGCUGUCAGCAGGAGAAGGGAGGGGUUCUAGAGACACAAAACAAAAAGUACACAUUACUGUAAUUAUCAAAUACUAGCCCAACUAACAACAAAGUCCUUCUGUAUUACUUUGUUC